UAAUUCAGGUUGGGCAAUUGUGUAGUCCUGUCAAUGAUUUAUCAGUACAUGGUGGGUGUUACUGUUCCGACUCAAAAUGUGUAUCAAAUGCAAUAACAGACUACAACCAGAAGCAUACGACUGCUGCCACAUUAGCACCAGGCUAUAUGUGUAACAAAGAGUUAUGUCGUAGUGAU